ACGGAUAUAUGAGGGACAUCCUUAACUAAAGCGAACAUGAGCUUGGUCCUGGAAAGACUAGCUCUUAUCAAGUAAAAUACGUCAUGUGUGACGCAAGCUUCUACUUUGAACGGAAGAGGCAUGAGUUGCAUCCGUUUUUCAAAUUCUGUUAUAUUUGCGUGUUCAUUAGGAAGAAGAAAGUAAAAAUUAACGCAUACUUGCAUUGUGCUUGAUUUUAUGAAUUUGGGGACGUACAAAUUAUAUCUUACACAGUUGGACUUUAGGAUGAAAGAAUUUUUUUCUGCGAGAGAAGAGGAAUUUUAUAUUUUUCAAGUGCACAGGAACUAAAGACUUCAUUGGAAGAUUUUUUUUGAAUGAAAGGUGACUGAGUGCGACGCAUGCCUAGUCAUCACUGGAGCAUAUCCGGGAUCGAUGAAACCAGCAGACGACGAAAAGGCCACGUGAGGAGUGAAGCAGACGGGACUCCAGUUAGAAAGGAUGAUGUAAAAGAAGGGAAAUCUUGCCAAAAAUAACCUUUCGUAAGAAAAAAAACUACGCAGUUUUUAUUAAACGAUUAGGUAAGCUGGUAAGUAAUCUUUUUAUAGCUUCUUUGUUUUGAAUAUAUUUAUAUCUAUACACAACAUUUUAAGUCAAUCGGGACACAUGUCGAUCGAUCCGUAUAGCUUGAUGUAGGUAGUUUAUGGACCACCAAACGAAGCAGAGGAUUAAUUAUAGCUUUAUGAUCAAGCACGUCUUGUGUAUGAAAGCUUGAUGUUUCAGUGCAGACAAAUCAUUUGAUUGACGGUGGUCAUUUCUUAGGUCAACGACAUGCAAACCGGUCAUUGAAACCAAACAAAAAAUAGCUAAAAUUAAUGGUUGGGGAAAAAAUCGAAAACCUAGAUUUAGGUCUUUUGUUUGGACUAUGAAUUAUGCACGCAUACUGAAACGCGUAUCUUUAAAAUAAAAGAUAUUUGUGAUAUUUUUAGUGAGAAGCCCAUGUCACCAUCCUUCACGGACAUGUAGAGUAAAAAAAGUCACUGACCGCAAAAAAUCGGAAACUCCUCAGACAGAAACGAGAACAAAGCUACGCAUUCAUAUAUCAGUGAACCGAAUCGGGAAUUCCCCUCGUAACCUCCUCUCACCAUGGGAGACUGGAUUUGAUUGGGAGGGUCAUCGCCCCAUUUUAUUGCCAGACAAAAAGUAGAUUUUGUUCUCACAAGUACGAAGAAUCCCGCGCAAAUUCUUGUCAUUCUUUGCGACAGAUGUUUUGCCCUGUCUUUCGGCUUGUCAUAUUUGACCAAUACACUCCUACCUGUGUGUUGGAAUACUAAUUCUUUGUUCAGGUAAUCUAAAACCACAGAGUGGGUUGAAAGUUUGUCAGGUGCCCGUGAUUUUAGCUACCCCAAUCAAACUAUUGAACGAUAGUAACUAUGAUAUCCCUCGAUCUAAAUUGAAUUCGUGUUAAUCAGACAAGUAAAUAUUUUAUUAAUGAUCUGAAAAGGUAUACCAUUUAACUACGUACGCCAAGACUAUUUAGUAAACUACCGCGAUAAUAAAAUUAAACAAAAGGAUGAUUCCUAAGAAAUAGUUUUUUGGUAACAAUUAAUAUAAAUAUGUACCAUGGUUGGAGGGUUGAUCUACCAUCGAGACAAACACGUGCAUCUGCAGACAUCGCUUAAUUGGUGUGAAGCAAAAUGUCAGAUAGACUGUGAUUUUUAUAUCUUUUGAUUCAGGGGUGGGCUGAUAUCAAGAAUGGUCUUUGUCAAAAAGAGGUAGUCUGACAUUCAAAGCGAUAACUGACUGCCUGUUCGGUGCUCCUGCUAGUCGGGGCACAUGACCCCAGUCGGGGUCACCGUGUAUUUAUGUGCUCAUCUCGUGAGGGCAUUGUGUAAAAGGAUAAUUAAAGUGACAACAGAAAAUUAAACUUUUUCAGGCACAAUCAAGGGAGAAUUUUGCUGAAUGGGGCUAGAUUCGAUGGUUUUAGACACCGAAGGGGGCCUGUUGGUAGCUUUGUAAUGGACGCCAUCAGUGAAUUAUAUUGUUGCACGUGUCGUGCUAACAGGUUUGAAAAGGGCACAACGGAUAUAGCCGUCACCUUGUUUUAUUGCUGAGAAAAAACUAAGUGCGAUACACUAAUCAG